AUACAUGAGCAAAAUUUCAACUUUAUUAGAAGAGACGCAUUUAUUAGAUAAAAAGCCAAUGCAUGCUUUUACAGUAUGAAAAGUGGUGAUUUAUAAUAACUUAGCAAAUCGCAAAGUGAAAACAGGCGAUAAAUCAUUCAAGUUUCUGACCUAUCAGCUUUCGACGGUAUGGUAUUGGCUUACCGUGGCAGUGACGGUUAACGGGGGAUUAGGGUUCGAUUCCGGAGAGGGAGCCUGAGAAACGGCUACCACAUCUAAGGAAGGCAGCAGGCGCGCAAAUUACCCAAUUCUAACAGUUUGAGAGAGGUAGUAACAAGAAAUAACAAUACAAGGCAGUUAAAAUGCUUUGUAAUUGGAAUGAUAGAAAUUUAAACCCUUUUUAAAGUAUCAAUUGGAGGGCAAGUCUGGUGCCAGCAGCCGCGGUAAUUCCAGCUCCAAUAGCGUAUAUUAAAAUUGUUGCAGUUAAAAAGCUCGUAGUUGAAGAUCUGCUAAAAGUAACCGGUCUGCUUUGAAUAAAAGUGGUAUCUUGGUAUGUAUUUAGCAAUGAUGUCCUUUGAAGUGUUUUUUACUUUAUUGUAAUAAAGCAUAUUCAGGACUUUUACUUUGAGAAAAUUAGAGUGUUUCUAGCAGGCCAACGCUUUGAAUACUGCAGCAUGGAAUAAUAAGA
rnacentral:rRNA from 1 species